UUAAAUUGAAGAGUUUGAUCAUGGCUCAGAUUGAACGCUGGCGGCAGGCCUAACACAUGCAAGUCGAACGGUAGCACAGAGAGCUUGCUCUCGGGUGACGAGUGGCGGACGGGUGAGUAAUGUCUGGGAAACUGCCUGAUGGAGGGGGAUAACUACUGGAAACGGUAGCUAAUACCGCAUAACGUCGCAAGACCAAAGAGGGGGACCUUCGGGCCUCUUGCCAUCAGAUGUGCCCAGAUGGGAUUAGCUAGUAGGUGGGGUAACGGCUCACCUAGGCGACGAUCCCUAGCUGGUCUGAGAGGAUGACCAGCCACACUGGAACUGAGACACGGUCCAGACUCCUACGGGAGGCAGCAGUGGGGAAUAUUGCACAAUGGGCGCAAGCCUGAUGCAGCCAUGCCGCGUGUAUGAAGAAGGCCUUCGGGUUGUAAAGUACUUUCAGCGGGGAGGAAGGUGUUGUGGUUAAUAACCACAGCAAUUGACGUUACCCGCAGAAGAAGCACCGGCUAACUCCGUGCCAGCAGCCGCGGUAAUACGGAGGGUGCAAGCGUUAAUCGGAAUUACUGGGCGUAAAGCGCACGCAGGCGGUCUGUCAAGUCGGAUGUGAAAUCCCCGGGCUCAACCUGGGAACUGCAUUCGAAACUGGCAGGCUAGAGUCUUGUAGAGGGGGGUAGAAUUCCAGGUGUAGCGGUGAAAUGCGUAGAGAUCUGGAGGAAUACCGGUGGCGAAGGCGGCCCCCUGGACAAAGACUGACGCUCAGGUGCGAAAGCGUGGGGAGCAAACAGGAUUAGAUACCCUGGUAGUCCACGCCGUAAACGAUGUCGAUUUGGAGGUUGUGCCCUUGAGGCGUGGCUUCCGGAGCUAACGCGUUAAAUCGACCGCCUGGGGAGUACGGCCGCAAGGUUAAAACUCAAAUGAAUUGACGGGGGCCCGCACAAGCGGUGGAGCAUGUGGUUUAAUUCGAUGCAACGCGAAGAACCUUACCUGGUCUUGACAUCCACAGAACUUAGCAGAGAUGCUUUGGUGCCUUCGGGAACUGUGAGACAGGUGCUGCAUGGCUGUCGUCAGCUCGUGUUGUGAAAUGUUGGGUUAAGUCCCGCAACGAGCGCAACCCUUAUCCUUUGUUGCCAGCGGUUAGGCCGGGAACUCAAAGGAGACUGCCAGUGAUAAACUGGAGGAAGGUGGGGAUGACGUCAAGUCAUCAUGGCCCUUACGACCAGGGCUACACACGUGCUACAAUGGCGCAUACAAAGAGAAGCGACCUCGCGAGAGCAAGCGGACCUCAUAAAGUGCGUCGUAGUCCGGAUUGGAGUCUGCAACUCGACUCCAUGAAGUCGGAAUCGCUAGUAAUCGUAGAUCAGAAUGCUACGGUGAAUACGUUCCCGGGCCUUGUACACACCGCCCGUCACACCAUGGGAGUGGGUUGCAAAAGAAGUAGGUAGCUUAACCUUCGGGAGGGCGCUUACCACUUUGUGAUUCAUGACUGGGGUGAAGUCGUAACAAGGUAACCGUAGGGGAACCUGCGGUUGGAUCACCUCCUUACCUUAAAGAA
rnacentral:rRNA from 1 species